rnacentral:rRNA from 1 species
AACGAACGCUGGCGGCAGGCCUAACACAUGCAAGUCGAGCGAGGACUUCGGUUCUAGCGGCGGACGGGUGAGUAACGCGUGGGAAUGUGCCCUUCUCUACGGAAUAGCCCUGGGAAACUGGGAGUAAUACCGUAUACGCCCUAUUGGGGAAAGAUUUAUCGGAGAAGGAUCAGCCCGCGUUGGAUUAGGUAGUUGGUGGGGUAAUGGCCUACCAAGCCGACGAUCCAUAGCUGGUUUGAGAGGAUGAUCAGCCACACUGGGACUGAGACACGGCCCAGACUCCUACGGGAGGCAGGAGUGGGGAAUCUUAGACAAUGGGGGCAAACCUGAUCUAGCCAUGCCGCGUGAGUGAUGAAGGCCUUAGGGUUGUAAAGCUCUUUCAGCUGGGAAGAUAAUGACGGUACCAGCAGAAGAAGCCCCGGCUAACUCCGUG